UGGGGAAUUUUGGACAAUGGGCGAAAGCCUGAUCCAGCAAUGCCGCGUGUGUGAAGAAGGCCUUCGGGUUGUAAAGCACUUUUGUCCGGAAAGAAAUCCUUGGCUCUAAUACAGUCGGGGGAUGACGGUACCGGAAGAAUAAGCACCGGCUAACUACGUGCCAGCAGCCGCGGUAAUACGUAGGGUGCAAGCGUUAAUCGGAAUUACUGGGCGUAAAGCGUGCGCAGGCGGUUUGCUAAGACCGAUGUGAAAUCCCCGGGCUCAACCUGGGAACUGCAUUGGUGACUGGCAGGCUAGAGUAUGGCAGAGGGGGGUAGAAUUCCACGUGUAGCAGUGAAAUGCGUAGAGAUGUGGAGGAAUACCGAUGGCGAAGGCAGCCCCCUGGGCCAAAUACUGACGCUCAUGCACGAAAGCGUGGGGAGCAAACAGGAUUAGAUACCCUGGUAGUCCACGCCCUAAACGAUGUCAACUAGUUGUUGGGGAUUCAUUUCCUUAGUAACGUAGCUAACGCGUGAAGUUGACCGCCUGGGGAGUACGGUCGCAAGAUUAAAACUCAAAUGAAUUGACGGGGUCAUA
rnacentral:rRNA from 1 species